GGCUAACGCUGGCGGCGUGUCUUAGCCAUGCAAGUCGAGCGGACUUAUGGGGUAACUUAUAAGUCAGCGGCGGACGGCGGAGUAACACGUAGCUAACCUACCCUCUGGACGGGGAUAACCUACCGAAAGGUGGGCUAAUACCCGAUGUAGUCAUCCUGUAUAGGGGUGAUGAAAGGUGGCGUAAGCUGUCGCUUGGGGAUGAGCCUGCGUCCUAUUAGUUAGUUGGUGAGGUAACGGCUCACCUAGGCAAUGAUAGGUAGGCGGCCUUAACGGGUGGUCGCCCACACUGGGAUUGAGAUACGGCCCAGACUCCUACGGGAGGCAGCAGUCGAGAAUAGUCUACAAUGGUCGGAAGACUGAUAGUGCGACGCCGCGUGAACGAUGAAUCCCUUCGGGGUGUAAAGUUCUUUUAUAUGUGAGCAGUGCUUCUUAUAUUAACAGUAUGGGGAGAGAGAUAUUAGCAUAUGAAUAAGCAACGGCUAACUCCGUGCCAGCAGCCG
rnacentral:rRNA from 1 species